rnacentral:lncRNA from 1 species
AGGGGGACUUGGGCCCGGCCGCCGGCACAGGGCCCCUGAUGUACGCAGGGCAAAGUCGAGCUCGGCCUCCGCGGCCUGCGGCUCUCCAGCCCAGCGGCACGCCUGCCCGCGGCGCGGCGCGCGCCUUCUCCCCACGCCUUCCUGCGCUGGGCGAAGCUCCGCAGCCGUGUCCCCUCUGCCUCUGAAAACCAGGCUGAUCCAUCCAGCUGUGACCCGUCCGCUUGUGCGUUGAGAAAGGGGACAGUGAGGCCUAUUUGGAAACAAUGUUCUAAGAACGAUGACUCUGAGCACGAUGAUUCACCAGCAACAUCCAACCGAAACGCCAGCUACUCUUUUGCUUCUGAGGUUUGCUUUUCCUUGUGAAGGAGUCAUCAUCAAAAAAAGGAGAGAUGACUAUGAAGCCUUCUGGUGCUAAAAUGCAUGAUAGACUCACCAAACAUACCAUGCACACUCCAAAAUGGAAAGAGGAAGCUCCUGAUCCCGGGCCUAGGACAGAAGGCGUGACUUCACUGCAGUGCUCUUUUCCUUCACUACGGGGGAGCAGACCCAGGCAAACCAUCUCAGCAAGACUGGUUUCUUUGCAAUACCAAGUUUCUUCUUCCUUCCCUCUUUCCUUCUUUCUUUAGUCUGCUUCAAAUCAUUUUGGGUACUACAAUACCCAUGUUUUGAUGGAAUAUCGCCUCAAAUCCAUCUGAGAUUUCAACUGGAUCUAAAAAACUCAAACAAUACACAGCCCAUUAAAUAAACAGCAUUUUAAAGAACGUACCAUUGACUCAUAAUAAUGUGUAUCAAAUGGUGAGCUUUCAUUAUCAUUAUCAAAACUCAAACGACUUUUCAGAUUCUUCCUCCCUAUGAUUGCAACAAGACACUUCAAAAUUUAUUUUGCUUUCUCAUAAGUGAAUAUGUAUGCAAAAGUUUCUCCUGUUUCCUCGUUCAAACAUCCAGUGCCUUCUUCAGCUACAGCUAUGGGUCCCCCUGUUCCAGAAAUAAAAAGAAAUUUGGGUGC